rnacentral:rRNA from 1 species
UACGAAGGGUGCAAGCGUUAAUCGGAAUUACUGGGCGUAAAGCGUGCGUAGAUGGUUCAUUAAGUCGGAUGUGAAAGCCCCGGGCUCAACCUGGGAACUGCAUCCGAUACUGGUGGACUAGAGUGCGGUAGAGGAUGGCGGAAUUCCCGGUGUAGCGGUGAAAUGCGUAGAGAUCGGGAGGAACAUCCGUGGCGAAGGCGGCCAUCUGGACCAGCACUGACGUUGAGGCACGAAAGCGUGGGGAGCAAAC